AAUUAUGGCAAAAUGUCUAAAAUAUGUCAAAAAGACAAAAUUAUGAGAUUACAAGAUAAAAAGUCAUAGUUAUAACAAAGAACCAUAAGUAUGGCAAAGUCAAAAUGAUGUCAAAAAGUUGAUAUGACAGAAGUUGAAAUUUAUAGUCAUAAUUUCACAAUUUGAAAUUGAGAAGUCAUAAUUAUGACAUUUAAGUAAUUUUAUGAACAAUAUAAUUAGGAUUUUGUCAUUAUUGGUAUCUCUCAAUUUCAACUUUUUAUCUUAUAAUUAUGACUUAGUAUCUCAUAAUUUCAUUAUAUCAAUUAUUAUAUAUUUUUUAACAAUUUUGACAGAUGAAACGGCACCAGGAAGAGUUGGUAAAGUUGGACUGACCCACAGCAGCACCACAGCUCAAGUUUAUGGAGUGGCAUGAAACUGCCUGUAAUUGCUGUCGGAUUUGCUGCUGCAUCACAGUGGCAUGACAAAACAGGAAAACUUGAUUGAAGAUGUUUCUUCGUCUGACUCUCAGACUCACCCCAAAUAACCAUCCAUCCAAACCACCAUAAGUAACUGGAUGUCCAGCCAAGGGCUUUUGCAGAGAACAUCUCAUUUCUGACUCCAGAUUCAGCCUUUGGAGUUGCAUGCACACAAUGACUUGCAGAUCAGAUGUCUUGUGUUAGUUAAAAGGUAAGAGCAAGAACAAAUAUGCGCACAAGACGCCAGGCCUUUUCAAAUCUCACCGCUCAAAUCUAAAUACCACCUGUCCGUCUUUCUCGUGAACAUCAGCACUUUUCACAUCAAAAUUAAUUUUUGGUUGGAUGUGGGUCCUCCGCUCUGAUUUGUUUGCCCGGAGUCUUUGCAUCUUCAGAAAGAUGGGAACAGGAGGAUAAAAGACACUUUUUUAUAAUCAACAUUUUGUCCUUAAGCAGUCUUUUUCUUCUCAAACGAGUUUUCAUUAUUUAUAAGUGAUCCGGAGGUGUAACUGGGCUGGGAUUUCACGCAAAGGUUUGAUAGGAGUUAGAUGAAGCUUACAGAAUUGAUUUGAGAAGCAUGGAAAUGAUUAUCUGCUCCGUGCAUUGCACCGUUAACACAUUUCGCCUUGUAUCCCAAGAAAAAAGUUGAAAUCUCAGCGUGUGGACGCAUGCGUUCAGCCGUGUCUUUGUGUGCAAGUGAGAACGCAAGUGUCCACUUGAACACCACGUGACUUCAAAGAUGAAAUGAAGUGCUCAGGAACUAGAAUUGAGAUGAAUUUUGUACUUGAAGAGGUAUCAAAAUAUCAAAGAAAUCGGCUAAUUUGACUUUUGCAUGCAUCCAAGUAUCAUUCCCUCUCAUCCAGCAUCUUACACAAAGCUUUUUAACUAUUGAAAAG
ensembl:lncRNA